GCUGCUGUCCCAAAAUCACCGCAAGCGCAAAUACGAUCCAAAACUAAAAUACUCUAGCCAACUAGUGACGAAAGUAUCUAGAAAAAUUCUUCAGAACGGUAGGAGACUAACGAAACAAACGGAACACGAAUUGGAGCUCAAACGACCAAAUUACGAGUGAAACAAGAAAUCAUGACUAAGAAAAAAAUAGACAGAAAAUCCCCUGAAAAAUCGUUCAUCAUGGAAGAAUAAAAACUGCAGGAUACCCAAACGAAAUCUUUGCUAUGCUUCCGUUCCACGAACAGCCCACCAAGGGCAAGCACUGCUGUGCUUGUUUGCUCGACGCCGGCCCUGCAGAAACGGCAACC
rnacentral:lncRNA from 1 species